AUGAGGCCGCCGUGGCAGCCGGAGUUGCCGUCGGCGUUGUCGCAGUCCACCAGCUCCUGCUCCGACAGCGACGUCAGGUUCUUGGUCCGGAUCGCGUUGAUGCCCUCCACGGCUGCGAUCGUCGAGAAGGCCCAGCAGCUGCCGCACUGCCCCUGGUCCUUGACGGCAGUCACCGCGCCCUUCUGCCGCCAGUCGACAGAAGACGGGAGCCGUGCAUGA
rnacentral:rRNA from 1 species